CACUGACACUGAGAGGAGGAAAAAGAAGAGCAUGUGCCGCUCUCUCUGCUUUAUGCUGUGGGAGCACAGUGCCCAGCAUGUAAGGUGCCCAGAUAGUGCAUUUGCCCCUU